GCGCACCAGGCGAGAAACUUCACACUGUGCGAAGCACGAUGAGGGAAUCCCAAGUGCUUGCACGUAAGUGUAAGCUGUUUCUCUGUCUAAAACGCAGAGAGAGUAAGGGCUGGGUAAGACGGGUGCCAGCCGCCGCGGUAAUACCCGCAGCUCAAGUGGUGACCGUUAUUAUUGGGCCUAAAACGUCCGUAGCCGGUUUAAUAAAUGCCUGGGGUAAAUUGUGUAGCUUAACUAUACGAAUUCCGGGUAGAC
rnacentral:rRNA from 1 species